rnacentral:piRNA from 1 species
UCCAUACCUGGCUCUCUGGACAGAAGA